UACAGAGGUCUCAAGCGUUGUUCGGAUUCAUUGGGCGUAAAGGGUGCGUAGGUGGCGCCGUAAGUCGGGUGUGAAAUUUCGGAGCUUAACUCCGAAACUGCAUUCGAUACUGCGGUGCUUGAGGACUGGAGAGGAGACUGGAAUUCAUGGUGUAGCAGUGAAAUGCGUAGAGAUCAUGAGGAAGACCAGUGGCGAAGGCGGGUCUCUGGACAGUUCCUGACACUGAGGAGCGAAAGCCAGGGGAGCAAACGGG
rnacentral:rRNA from 1 species